GAUGAACGCUAGCGGCAGGCCUAAUACAUGCAAGUCGAACGGUAACAGGUCCAGCAAUGGAUGCUGACGAGUGGCGCACGGGUGCGUAACACGUAUGCAACCUACCUAUUACAGUGGGAU
rnacentral:rRNA from 1 species